UUCUCAUGACUCCCAAUCUCCCAUCUCCAGCUCUCCACUCUCCAUUCUCCACUUUCAUCUCUCGCCCUUUUUGCUGUCCGUUGGCUGCCGUCCGUCGACGUCCGGUCUUCACUCUAGCCUGAUCUGGUUUCUGCGGACUGCUUUUUCUGGUUUCUGCCUUCAUCUUGAACAAGUCCAAGUUUGUCUCUGGUUAACUGGUUUCUGGUUGGGUUUCUUGUUGCUGUCGACUGCCCUACCCUCAUCAAAGUGACUGGUAAGUUUUAUUCAUUCUGCUGCCACCAUCAAUAAAGUUUGUUUAUGUAUCAUUCAUCUUGAGAAUCACCAACGUCUCUACCUCUCUAAACAGGCAAGCGUGUUUCUUUUAUAGAGAAUUUCUUUAUCUACCGAAACAUGGAUUGGACUUAAUAGAAGAACCCCCUCUUGUUUCAUUUCUGGAAAAUGAAAUUAGUCAAAUUUAUAUAAAAAAUUUUAUUUUGAUCACCUUUGUUCUAAAUUAAAAUUACAUUCUAGUGGACAAUAUAUGCUCAUCCCAAAGCUGUAAACAUCGCUUUUCUUGUUUAGGUUCCCUGAACAUUGAAAUCUAUAUGGAAAACAUAAAUGGUUUCUGUCAGUAGGAGUUUUGUAAAAAUUAGAUGAAUGAAACAAGCAUAAAAGUCUUUUAAUGUUACUUUUAUCAAUUCUUUCAAUAUCGUUUUUGCUUAUCCAAUGAUGCUGAAAAGUUAAAUUAUUAGGGAUUAUUUGGAUGAGCCUAGUCCCAGAGCCUUUAGAGAUGAAAGAUCAGAUGACGCAUCCAAAGCCUAACACUCGGGAUUUGAAAGUUAACAUGAUACAAUCUAUGAGGCUAAGAUAACAUUUAGCCAACAGGAAAUGUUACUAGGUUUAGACAGCAAUUAUGUGAGAAUUCUCAUCAUGAUUUAGGUAGCAGAUCAGUUAUAAUUAAAGAUUUAAAAAAUUAAACAAAUUCAGAUAAAUUUCAUCAAGUUUUAGACUAGUACUCAAGAUCGGUUUCGUAUACUUGUGUUAAUUGGACAAGGUUGUGACAUUCAUUUAUUUAAAAUUUUUGUGACAUUCAGAAGAAAAGAUGGGGGUGCUGCUGGAGCAUAUAUUGGUUCUUACUUCUGAAAUGAGUGCUUCUGGUGGUUGGUGCUAAUGUUAGUAAUGUCUAUUUUUGCUAGUAUGUAUUUUUGUUAGUAAUGUCUUGUGUCAUCUCAAUGGUUGAAGUUGGUAGACAAUUUCUUUUUGGAAUGUUAUUAUUAAUUUAAUCUAGGCUACUUCAUUUUAUACAUAGUUUGCUGACCCUUUUACAUUACUUACUCUGUUGCAAGCAUAUGUGGAACAGUUUCAGAAUAAUUAAAAGAAACAUGGGAACCUUUUCAUUUCUGUAUCCAAUUUCCU
rnacentral:lncRNA from 1 species